rnacentral:rRNA from 1 species
AAUCAACGCUGGCGGCGUGCCUAACACAUGCAAGUCGAACGCGGAAGUCCCGCAAGGGAUUAGUAGAGUGGCAAACGGGUGAGUAACACGUGGGUGACCUGCCUUCGAGCGGGGGAUAACGUCCCGAAAGGGACGCUAAUACCGCAUAACAUCCUGCCUUUUAAGAGGUGGAGAUCAAAGCCGGGGAUCGCAAGACCUGGCACUUGAAGAGGGGCCCGCGCCUGAUUAGCUAGUUGGUGAGGUAAUGGCUCACCAGGGCGACGAUCAGUAGCUGGUCUGAGAGGAUGAUCAGCCACACUGGGACUGAGACACGGCCCAGACUCCUACGGGAGGCAGCAGUGGGAAUAUUGGACAAUGGGGAAACCCUGAUCCAGCCAUGCCGCGUGAGUGAUGAAGGCCUUAGGGUUGUAAAGCUCUUUCGUCAGGGAAGA